UACGGAGGGGGUUAGCGUUGUUCGGAAUUACUGGGCGUAAAGCGCACGUAGGCGGAUUGGAAAGUAAGAUGUGAAAUCCCAGGGCUCAACCCUGGAACUGCAUUUUAAACUAUCAGUCUAGAGUUCGAGAGAGGUAAGUGGAAUUCCGAGUGUAGAGGUGAAAUUCGUAGAUAUUCGGAGGAACACCAGUGGCGAAGGCGGCUUACUGGCUCGAUACUGACGCUGAGGUGCGAAAGCGUGGGGAGCAAACAGG
rnacentral:rRNA from 1 species